GUCCAGGUUAGCCUAGUGGACAAUGGCAUCUUCCCGGUAAGCGGAACACUGUGUGUUCGAUUCCCAUCCCUGGACU
rnacentral:tRNA from 1 species